UAAAGAAAUUGCCGAGUCGGUCCGUA
rnacentral:piRNA from 1 species